rnacentral:rRNA from 1 species
ACGGAAGGCAGCAGUGGGGAAUAUUGGGCAAUGGGCGAAAGCCUGACCCAGCAACGCCGCAUGAAGGAAGAAGGUCUUCGGAUUGUAAACUUCUUUUAUGAGGGACGAAGGACGUGACGGUACCUCAUGAAUAAGCCACGGCUAACUACGUGCCAGCAGCCGCGGUAAUACGUAGGUGGCAAGCGUUAUCCGGAUUUACUGGGUGUAAGGGGCGCGUAGGCGGGAAGACAAGUCAGAUGUGAAAUCCAUGGGCUCAACCCAUGAACUGCAUUUGAAACUGUUUUUCUUGAGUGCUGGAGAGGUAGACGGAAUUCCUUGUGUAGCGGUGAAAUGCGUAGAUAUAAGGAAGAACACCAGUGGCGAAGGCGGUCUACUGGACAGUAACUGACGCUGAGGCGCGAAAGCGUGGGGAGCAAACAGGAUUAGAUACCCUGGUA